UAGGCAGAGCGGAUGAUCGCUGCCUCGUAAGAGGGAGAGGAAAGUCCGGGCUUCAUAGGGCAGGAUGCCGGAUAACGUCCGGCCGGGGUAACCCGAGGACCAGUGCAACAGAAAAUUACCGCCCGCAAGGGUAAGGGUGAAAAGGCAGUGUAAGAGACUACCGCCGCUGCAGUAAUGUAUCGGGCAUAUGUAAACUCCAUCCGAAGCAAGACCAAGCAGAAAGCAUACGUCGGCCCGGCGGCUUUCGGGUAGGUCGCUUGAGCCUGUCGGCGACGACAGGCCUAGAUAGAUGAUCAUCCACGACAGAACCCGGCUUACAGCCCUGCCUAUUUU
rnacentral:RNase_P_RNA from 1 species